rnacentral:misc_RNA from 1 species
UGUCCUGAAAAACGAUAGCUGCCAGCGCCAAGUCAUUAACAAUCACUGUCGUUGGUCGGAACCGAAACCUGUGACGACAUCUGUUCCAGACAGAUUUCAUUGGUCCAAACCCAAAUGUCAGGAAGCUACGACAAACAAACAGAGUUCUAAGGUCCAGCAGUAUUCAGACAAAUCACAAACAAAGGCUGACAUGUCUCAACUUGCUGGAUUUGUAAAGAAACGUUCCUCCUCCGAUAGCACAAAUACCCGUACGACUGUUCAUACCUCUGACGUCAUCAAGAGCACCAGUCAUACCUGUGAUGACAAACCUGUCUACAAUGAAUCCAGGAAUUCGUUCUGUUCACCUUUAAAGUUUGAAAGCCGACAAACGGUCAGUUGUGGUUGUUGAACCUGACCAUGAUUUUGCCUACAGCCUCGACCUUAUGGGGGAUUACACUCUCAAAGUCAGUGACCACUACAAAGAACCAUCGCCAUUCUGGUUUGAGGCUGGUCGGACUACAUGCAGGACUUGCGUACAGGUCAAACCAGCAAAUCUGGACACAGUGUGUACGACUGACCAACGACCUUCCCUGAACAAGUCACUGGAUACGACCUGCUGGCAUCCUCAACAGUUCACUCCCGAGACUGACAUUGGAAUUGUGUUAGAUACGACCCAGGACGAUGAAGAGUUGGACAGUAUUAUGAACAAUAAGCGUGGUUACACGUAUAUCAACAACAGCAGACACAGGGGCCUAAAGAGACGAAUCGCUUAUGACGACGAGGAAGAAGUUCCUAUCCCUUGCAAAAGGCCAAGAAGUUGUUGAUCCGCCGACAAUGUUUCUGACAAUAUUGGACGGAAUAGAGACUUUUUUUAAUUUUAAGGAAACAUGGGCGAAGGGAAUGGCAAUAUCGUUAAAGGCGUUGUCGGACAAAUUUGUGCUUGUCCACACAGAUUAUACCCAGUUGUCAGAUUCAAGUGUAUAUGUUUAUUGCAAAGUUCUGUCAACUCUUUAUCUAUUGGCCAACAUGUCUGUCUGUCCGCAUGUUUGUUUUGACCUGUCUGCAUGUUUGUCUGUCUGUCUUCAUGUGUGUCUGUCUGUCCGCAGGUUUGUUUUGACCUGUCUGCAUGUUUGUCUGUCUGUCCUCAUGUGUGUGUGUCUGUCCGCAUGUUUGUCUAUAUUUAAGUGCAUGUCCAAGGAAGAAGCUUACCACAGUACUUGGUGGUUGUUGACACUCAGAGUGGUACGUACAUCAUUUUGACUGUCAGAACGUUUGCCAUUUGACUAAAGCUCUUUCUUAUCUGUUGCGCAUGGCUGAUAUUUUUGUCGGUCUGUUUGUCUGCAUGUUUGUCCGUGUCUCUAAUAGUACCACAGUACCUUGGUGUGGUGACGUUCAGGGUGAUAUUUGUUGACCUCUUACUACAGCUCUCUCUCUCUCUCUCUCUCUCUCUCUCUCUCUCUCUCUCUCUCUCUCUCUCAUCUGUUACGCUUGUCCGAAAUACCGAUGCAAUAACGCACGCAGUGUGUUGUACUCGGUAUAAUCUUCGUAGGUUAAAUGUCAUCAUGUAACUUUUAUAAGUUUAUAAUGGUGUGUAAGUGUAUACUUGGCAUGUAAGUGUAUAUCUGGCUGCAAUGUAAUAUUCGAUGUGUCAGUUGAUAUCUCAAGUUUAUAUUUUGUGUAUAUAUUUAUAGCUGGCGUGUAAAUUCAUAUUUGGUGUGUAAGUUCAUAUUUGGUGUGUAAGGGUUUAUCUGGCGUGUACGUUUAUAUUUGGUGUGGAAGGGUUUAUCUGGCGUGAGUGUUUAUAUUUAUAGUUAAUAGGUUUUUUUAGGUUUUUUUUUAUAUUUUUUAUUACCGAUCUGCUGUGCAGAUCUUAUUAUAGUAUAGUCAUAUCAAUUAAAA